UGUUUAGUUGGCAGUGGAAGUUGGUGUUGUUCGUCGUUCGUGUAAAAUCGCAAAUUAUUUAUAAAUAAAUUCAUAGUUUUCCAAAUAAAAUUAAUUCAAAAUUCGUGCAGCAAUACACAUAAAUCAAUAGUCUUAAUAAUCACUCAAAAGUCUUGAUAUAAAUCCCCAUCAGUUAUGUGGAGUCCAACUCAUAUUCAAGUAACUGUUCAAAAAGCUAAGGGUUUGUUGACCAAGGGCAAAAAUGGUACAAACAAUUGCUUCGUCACAAUUGCACUGGGCAAAGAGAAAUACCAAACAUCGGUCAAGGAGAAGGCCACCGAGAACGUUGACUGGCACGAAGAAUGUGAAUUAAAAAUUCCGGAUCAAGGUAACAGAGCGGAGCUGAUUUUGACGUGUUUGCAUCGAAAUAACCUUAGUAUAGAUGAGUUUUUGGGUCAAGUCACACUCCCCCUCAACGAAAUGGAUGUAUACGAUCGUCCCAGGUCGAAAUGGUUCAAACUCGAGAGUAAACCUGGCAAAGAGAAAAAGAAAGAGCGCGGAGAACUUGAAGCCAGAAUAACAUUUAUAGUUAAGUCAGGCUCAUUAACCGAUUUGAGCAAGAAAGAAAAGCAUAAGUCUUCCAUAGGACAGCUGGCGAAUUCCGUGGGUGGAAGUUUGCUUAGUAUUGGAACAAUUGAAAAGCGUAAAGGUAUUAAGAAAUUCGCCAAGUCAUUGGGCUCAAAAAUGCACUUAAAUGGUAAGAAGAAGAACAAAGAUAAUAUUGAGGGUGAUGUUGAUUCGACGAGUGGAAGCUUCGCCAGUAUUGGAACACCAAACAGUAAUCCCGGGCUAAGAAGGUAUGGACAACGAGUCGGCGAAGCUGAUCCCGGAGUUAUAAGUGAAGAUGAAGAUGAGUUUGUGUUUGAUACCCUAUCCCAUAAGAGCUCUGGUAGUUCAUUAAAUAUCCGUGGCACACAAUCGUAUCAGCGGAAUGUCCCAUCGCCAUUAAUUUCAAAGGAAAAAGAAAUUGAUACAACUUUCUACUCUUCUUCCAACUCACCACCAACCAAACCUCCACGCAAUCAAAACGAGCAGCAGCUCGACGAAUGGGAGGCAAAACUCUAUGGCAAGCAUCUAGAUAUAGGUAGUACAGAUUCGUUGAAACGUCGCUCCUGGGAAAACUCCAGAGUUCCACUGCCAGCAAACAAUGAAGAACCACUACGACAAACCGAAUCGGUUGAAAAAAUCACAGAACAAUUAAACACAUCACAACCUAGCCGAAAACCAUCACCGAUUCCUGUCGUUUAUGAAAAACCAUCUCUUGAAUUCGAAAUGGAUGAGAGCACUCAUCCAUCAACUGCUCCAAACACACCUGUUUUCAAGUCAAAGUCCAAAGAGAGCCUUAGGGAUAAUAGUCCAUACAGAGGAUCAGAUGAGAUACCAACUGCAAUGCCCCGCAGCUCAACCAUGGAAUGUUUGACCGAUAAUAAUAAAAAUUCUUCUUCUGUUCAUAAUAGUAAAGAAAUGGAUGUAAGUAAGGAAAAGACUGAGAAGAAACAGCGUUUCAGUAAAUUCAAAUAUUUUAAUAAAAGAGAUAAACACGAUUCACAAGAUGAACUUUCGUCUAGUCCCAAAGUCAACGAGAGAAUAAUUAUUGGGCAUGAAAAGUCACAAACACCUCGUUCAGAGGUUUCAGCUGCUCUGGCUAAGAAAUAUGAGGGGAAGUCCAGAGAAGAACUUAUGCUUUUGGCCAACGGAAUGGAACAUGAAGCCCUCAUACAGCGCCAACGAGUUAAAGAACUUGAGGAUUAUUUAGAUAAUUUAUUGCUGAGGGUGAUGGAAACCCAUCCAAAAAUUUUACAAAAUCCUUACUCACGCACUACAUCAACCAAAAGUUUUAAGAACUUCAUCAUGAACGGUUAUUAAGAACUAAUUCUCAUGGUCUAUGACGAGGAAUAUGGAGGACUAAUCAUAAAAACACUCGUCAAUGGAUAAUCAAAGACCAACAACACAAAAUUACAUCAUACACCAGAAGUUGCCUUCUCAAAGUGCUUUUUUUACAAACCUAAAACAAAAUAAAAAAAUAUUAAACAUAUAGAAAAUAAAUUAAAAACAUAACUGUUGCAAAAUAAUAUUUUUUAAAAGAUUUAAUUUUAAUUUAUAAGUCAACAUUAAAGUAAUCCCAAAUUUUAUUAUUUAUUUUUAAAACUGCAUUUUAAUUUAAAAAAAAAUAUCUUAUAGAAUAAGUCAAUAGUAUUUUAAUUUUUAAACCAUCACCAUUUAUUUGUUUUUUAAAUAAUAUACGUAUUUAUAUAUUUUAUUUUCACUGUAUUGGAAAAAUGUGAAUUUUGAAUUUUGGUCCUGGGCAAGAAUAACAAAAUAUAUUUAAAUAAAAAACCAAGUACCUAGAUUAUUAAAGCUUUUAAUUACAUUUUUAAUAUACAUUUACUUAGUACUAAGAUAUUUUUUGUCUUAAUUUAUGUUUAUUAAUUAUUAAAAUAAAUUCAAUAAAAAAAUGUUUAAAUAUAA